rnacentral:rRNA from 1 species
UAAGCGGAGGAGAAGAAACUAACCAGGAUUUCCCUAGUAACGGCGAGCGAACCGGAAAGAGCCCAGCUUGAAAAUCGUGUGGUUCCGCCCCUCGAAUUGUAGUCUGGAGAAGCGUCCUCUGCAACGGACUGGACCCAAGUUCCCUGGAACGGGACGUCGGAGAGGGUGAGAACCCCGUCGAGUUCGGACCCUGUUGCUCCACGAGGCGCUGUCUGCGAGUCGGGCUGUUUGGGAAUGCAGCCCUAAGUGGGAGGUAAAUUCCUUCUAAGGCUAAAUACAGGCAAGAGACCGAUAGCGAACAAGUACCGCGAGGGAAAGAUGAAAAGGACUUUGAAAAGAGAGUUAAAAAGUGCUUGAAAUUGCUGGGAGGGAAGCGAACGGAAGCUGCGGGCGCGCCUCGGUUGGAUGCGGAACGGCGAGAGCUGGUCCGCCGCUCAACGCGGGGCGCUGGUCAGCGUGGGCCAUCGCGGCGGGACAAGAGCGGGCUUUGUUGCCCGCCUAUGCCGUUGCGGUGGCCGAGGGACGAAGCGCGCGCCUCUUCGAUGAGGCGGGCCUCAGGGCACCUGCGCGCUCGGGACGCUGGCGUAUUGAGCUCUCCAUCCGACCCGUCUUGAAACACGGACCAAGGAGUCUAACAUGUAUGCGAGCCGGUGGGCGGCAAACCCAUUGAGGCGCAAGGAACCUGACAGGUGGGAUCCCCCGGUAACAAAGGGGAGCACCAUCGACCGACCGUGAUCUUCUGUGAAAGGUUUGAGUGUGAGCAUACCUGCUGGGACCCGAAAGAUGGUGAACUAUGCCUGAGCAGGGCGAAGCCAGAGGAAACUCUGGUGGAGGCUCGUAGCGAUACUGACGUGCAAAUCGUUCGUCAGACUUGGGUAUAGGGGCGAAAGACUAAUCGAACCAUCUAGUAGCUGGUUCCCUCCGAAGUUUCCCUCAGGAUAGCUGGAGCUCGUGAAGUUUUAUCAGGUAAAGCGAAUGAUUAGAGGCAUCGGGGGUGUAACACCCUCGACCUAUUCUCAAACUUUAAAUAGGUAAGCCGCCAGGGUUGCUUGGUUGAACCCUGGCACAGAAUGAGAGCUCCAAGUGGGCCAU